ACCACCACAGACAUGGACUAGACAACAGGUUAGAACAACGACAUGUCAACAACCACCACAGACAUGGACUAGACAACAGGUUAGAACAACGACAUGUCAACAACCACCACAGACAUGGACUAGACAACAGGUUAGAACAACGACAUGUCAACAACCACCACAGACAUGGACUAGACAACAGGUUAGAACAACGACAUGUCAACAACCACCACAGACAUGGACUAGACAACAGGUUAGAACAACAACAUGUCAACAACCACCACAGACAUGGACUAGACAACAGGUUAGAACAACGACAUGUCAACAACCACCACAGACAUGGAC